UACGAAGGGGGCUAGCGUUGCUCGGAAUCACUGGGCGUAAAGGGUGCGUAGGCGGGUCUUUAAGUCAGGGGUGAAAUCCUGGAGCUCAACUCCAGAACUGCCUUUGAUACUGAAGAUCUUGAGUCCGGGAGAGGUGAGUGGAACUGCGAGUGUAGAGGUGAAAUUCGUAGAUAUUCGCAAGAACACCAGUGGCGAAGGCGGGUCUCUGGACAGUUCCUGACGCUGAGGCACGAAGGCCAGGGGAGCAAACGGG
rnacentral:rRNA from 1 species